rnacentral:lncRNA from 1 species
UGGUACAUGGGUGAUUUGUGAGAGAUAGGCUCCUAAACUACAAGUGUACCCCCCAGGGCAGCUUUUCAAAGUAGAUAUUCAUAGGAAAAAAAAGAAUUAAUUUUUCCUUCUCUCUUUUUUUUUUUUUUUUUUUUUUUUUUGAACUUGGUAGGCUUUGAAUGCUUAACAGAAUUAGAUUCUGGCAUGGAGAUCAUGAAAGAUCUCUGAUUAUUCCAAUUCUUUUAACUGAUUAAAUGAAGAUACCAAGCUCUGAGAGUCAUGUGAGCAGAGCCCUGAGCUAUAUAAAGGGAACAGCUCACCUGUUUCAUGUUGUGUAGAAUAAGAUGAAAGGAAAGGAUGUAGCUUGAAAGCAGGAUGGAGAACAGCCAGAGGUCCCCACCAAAAACAAAGGAAUGUGACAAGCGUCAGGGCCAUACAGCCUCAGCAUCCCCAGGGCCUGGACAAAAAUAUGGGCAUUCUCCCGUCUUCCAGGCCAGCUUCGUGCCAGCACCAUCCUCUUCCCCUGCCUGCAGCCAUGGCAGCUUCAGUUACAAUAAGGGACCAUUUGUUGGCAAAGGAGGGUGCCGUAGAAUUGGCAGUUUCUGUCCGUUCCCAGGAAAAAGGGACUGCCUGGACAGAGAAGUCUGUAAGCCAACAGUGUCAUGCAGCAGGGUCCAACAGCUCUGCCACCAUCCAUCCAUCCUGAAUCUUAUGUAACCAGCUCAUGUUCUAAAAAAAGGAAGAAAAAAAAAAAAAAAGUAUUUGUUUAAAACACUCUAUUGAAGAACUAUAAACAACACAGCGUGUUAGUUUACACAGACUGAGCAGUGACGGUACAGCGCAAUGUGAGGGUACAAUUCACUCCUGCUUCCCCUCCAGGCUACAGGGAUCUCGGCCUGAUUGUCAGUUUAAAACACAGCAACUAUUUCUGCGGGCUUGUAAACUCAAACUUACGCCAGAGACAGCGGAGCAUAUGGUAAAGACGGACUCCAAAGUAAUGAAGGAGUCCCUCAAAUAUCACCCCGCCUCUUUUCACAAACAGCAGAGAAAGGGGGGGUCAAGGCUUUUUAAGGCACAUUUGAAAAUAAAAAAGAAAGAAAAAAAAAAAACGUGUGCA